UCCCGUGUGGCUCAGUUGGUAGAGCAUGGCACUUGCAACGCUAGGGCUGUGGGUUUGAUUUCCACGAGGGGAC
rnacentral:tRNA from 1 species